rnacentral:rRNA from 1 species
UAGGGAAUCUUCGGCAAUGGACGGAAGUCUGACCGAGCAACGCCGCGUGAGUGAAGAAGGUUUUCGGAUCGUAAAGCUCUGUUGUAAGAGAAGAACGAGUGUGAGAGUGGAAAGUUCACACUGUGACGGUAUCUUACCAGAAAGGGACGGCUAACUACGUGCCAGCAGCCGCGGUAAUACGUAGGUCCCGAGCGUUGUCCGGAUUUAUUGGGCGUAAAGCGAGCGCAGGCGGUUAGAUAAGUCUGAAGUUAAAGGCUGUGGCUUAACCAUAGUACGCUUUGGAAACUGUUUAACUUGAGUGCAAGAGGGGAGAGUGGAAUUCCAUGUGUAGCGGUGAAAUGCGUAGAUAUAUGGAGGAACACCGGUGGCGAAAGCGGCUCUCUGGCUUGUAACUGACGCUGAGGCUCGAAAGCGUGGGGGAGCNNNCNGGAUUAGAUACCCUGGUAGUCCACGCCGUAAACGAUGAGUGCUNNUGUUAGACCCUUUCCGGGUUUAGUGCCGCAGCUAACGCAUUAAGCACUCCGCCUGGGGAGUACGACCGCNGNU